rnacentral:rRNA from 1 species
GGAGGUAUCAGAAGUGCGAAUGCUGACAUAAGUAACGAUAAAGCGGGUGAAAAGCCCGCUCGCCGGAAGACCAAGGGUUCCUGUCCAACGUUAAUCGGGGCAGGGUGAGUCGACCCCUAAGGCGAGGCCGAAAGGCGUAGUCGAUGGGAAACAGGUUAAUAUUCCUGUACUUGGUGUUACUGCGAAGGGGGGACGGAGAAGGCUAUGUUGGCCGGGCGACGGUUGUCCCGGUUUAAGCGUGUAGGCUGGUUUUCCAGGCAAAUCCGGAAAAUCAAGGCUGAGGCGUGAUGACGAGGCACUACGGUGCUGAAGCAACAAAUGCCCUGCUUCCAGGAAAAGCCUCUAAGCAUCAGGUAACAUCAAAUCGUACCCCAAACCGACACAGGUGGUCAGGUAGAGAAUACCAAGGCGCUUGAGAGAACUCGGGUGAAGGAACUAGGCAAAAUGGUGCCGUAACUUCGGGAGAAGGCACGCUGAUAUGUAGGUGAAGUCCCUCGCGGAUGGAGCUGAAAUCAGUCGAAGAUACCAGCUGGCUGCAACUGUUUAUUAAAAACACAGCACUGUGCAAACACGAAAGUGGACGUAUACGGUGUGACGCCUGCCCGGUGCCGGAAGGUUAAUUGAUGGGGUCAGCGCAAGCGAAGCUCUUGAUCGAAGCCCCGGUAAACGGCGGCCGUAACUAUAACGGUCCUAAGGUAGCGAAAUUCCUUGUCGGGUAAGUUCCGACCUGCACGAAUGGCGUAAUGAUGGCCAGGCUGUCUCCACCCGAGACUCAGUGAAAUUGAACUCGCUGUGAAGAUGCAGUGUACCCGCGGCAAGACGGAAAGACCCCGUGAACCUUUACUAUAGCUUGACACUGAACAUUGAGCCUUGAUGUGUAGGAUAGGUGGGAGGCUUUGAAGUGUGGACGCCAGUCUGCAUGGAGCCGACCUUGAAAUACCACCCUUUAAUGUUUGAUGUUCUAACGUGGACCCGUGAUCCGGGUUGCGGACAGUGUCUGGUGGGUAGUUUGACUGGGGCGGUCUCCUCCUAAAGAGUAACGGAGGAGCACGAAGGUUGGCUAAUCCUGGUCGGACAUCAGGAGGUUAGUGCAAUGGCAUAAGCCAGCUUGACUGCGAGCGUGACGGCGCGAGCAGGUGCGAAAGCAGGUCAUAGUGAUCCGGUGGUUCUGAAUGGAAGGGCCAUCGCUCAACGGAUAAAAGGUACUCCGGGGAUAACAGGCUGAUACCGCCCAAGAGUUCAUAUCGACGGCGGUGUUUGGCACCUCGAUGUCGGCUCAUCACAUCCUGGGGCUGAAGUAGGUCCCAAGGGUAUGGCUGUUCGCCAUUUAAAGUGGUACGCGAGCUGGGUUUAGAACGUCGUGAGACAGUUCGGUCCCUAUCUGCCGUGGGCGCUGGAGAACUGAGGGGGGCUGCUCCUAGUACGAGAGGACCGGAGUGGACGCAUCACUGGUGUUCGGGUUGUCAUGCCAAUGGCACUGCCCGGUAGCUAAAUGCGGAAGAGAUAAGUGCUGAAAGCAUCUAAGCACGAAACUUGCCCCGAGAUGAGUUCUCCCUGACCCUUUAAGGGUCCUGAAGGAACGUUGAAGACGACGACGUUGAUAGGCCGGGUGUGUAAGCGCAGCGAUGCGUUGAGCUAACCGGUACUAAUGAACCGUGAGGCUUAACCUUACAACGCCGAAGGUGUUU